ACCAGGGCGGAAAUCAGUUCCGGCGGCUUCGCGCAUGCGCGAUUCAUUUUCAGUCUGGACGCGGAGGGGUGAACAUCUCCUCUGACUGCUGCGAGAGGACUGGGCCGCAUGUGAGUGCUGUGGGACGGUGUGGGGCCCACGGCAGCACCCGCUGCUCGUUGAGAAGACGACAACUGCCUUGUUCAGGGGCAGAACGACAGAUGUUUACCUUGUCAGCCCGGGGAUUUGAUGUCGUUUACCGGCCCAACGCUGUAACCCACAAGGCUACUUGCCUCUCCGGAAACCACCUACUUUGGCCGAGAACCAAUCAACAGAAUCAGGGCAGAACCUUCAGUGGACCAGUAUGGGUUGAAGGGGGAUUCAAUAUGUCUGGUUGUUCCAGAACCUCCUGAGAUGAUCAAAGGACUUCAAUGGAGGAAGGACAGUGAUGUAAUAUUUGGAGACAAAGAGAUCUCUCCUAAAUACAAGGAGAAGGUGGACUAUAACAAUGAUAACCAUUCUCUGUGUAUUAAGAAUCUAAUGGAAACUGACAGUGGAAUUUACAUGGUAAACUACAGGAAACAUUGGAAACAAUCAACUACUACAUAUAGACUGUUAGUGGAGGAUCAUGUUCCCAAACCAGUCAUGGAUGUCACAUCUCUCUUCAACACAAGUGUGGGUUGCUGUGAUGUCACAGUGAACUGUUCAGUUAAAGAUGUCUGGAUGUUGUCUGUCUGUGACAGCGGUCAGUGUACACUGUCACAACAGUCUCCGUCACUAACCGGUGGUAACAUGACCAUCUCCGUAUUGACUGGAAGGAUCCAAUGUACCAGCAGCGACCACGUCAGCACAAAGACCAUCUCUCAACCCAUGGAGGACUGUAGUGGUAAUGUGAAAGCCUCAGUGUUACCAGUUGGCACCAUUGUGGGCUGUGUUACUGGUAUAUUACUCCUAGUUGCUGUGUUACUUGGUGUUGGAUACAUCAAACAUACCAGAAGACAGAAAAUCCCUAAAGAACAAAGUCCACUAGAAGAGGUCAUUGUUCCAAGAGUUUACAACUCAGUGAAGACCUCACCAGGGAGAGAAGAACCACAGCAUCUCCUUACCAGAACCACAGCCCUCUCCUGACAAGAACCACAUCACUCUACUGACCAGAACCACAGCCCUCUCCUGUCCAGAACCACGGCACUCUCCUGACUAGAACCACAGCCUUCUCCUGUGCAGAACCACACCACUCUCCUGUGCAGAACCACACCACUCUCCUGUGCAGAACCACACCACUCUCCUGACCAGAACCACAGCACUCUCCUGACCAGAACCACAGCACUCUCCUGACCAGAACCACAGCACUCUCCUGUCCAGAAUCACAGCACUCUCCUGACCAGAACCACACCACUCUCCUGACCAGAACCACAGCACUCUCCUGUCCAGAACCACAGCACUCGCCUGUCCAGAACCACAGCACUCUCCUGACCAGAACCACAGCACUCUCCUGACCAGAACCACAGCACUCUCCUGUCCAGAACCACAGCACUCUCCUGUCCAGAACCACAGCACUAUCCUGUCCAGAACCACAGCACUCUCCUGUCCAGAACCACAGCACUCUCCUGUCCAGAACCACAGCACUAUCCUGUCCAGAACCACACCACUCUCCUGUCCAGAAUCACAUCACUCUCCAGAGAUACAGACAGUCUACUUCACUGAGAAGAACCAGCACCAGCAGAACACCUCCAAGUUGAAACAUGAAGCACUUCUCCAGACAUUAGACCAAAAGAACAGAGAAUAACUGCCUCUGAACUGCAUCAUCUCAUUGAGUCACUGAGUUACAUCAGUUCUUGACCUUGUACAGAAACCACGGGACAUUGCACCACCUACUGGACAUCAAUAAUACCAGCAGAGUAAACCUCAUGGCUUCAUUCAUCAACAUGUUGGGAAGUUGUUUUAGACCAAGAUAUUUAUAUGUUCUAGUAUGUGUUAUUACUAUACCACAAAGCCCACGUUUUUCCAGAUGUGUCCAAUCCUAAAUGAACCCCUGGCUCAGGUUUUCACCACAUUGAUUGUAGGAUCAGAUAGGUGUACCAGUCAGCAGUAACAUGGUAUUAGUUCCACCUACCCAUCAAUGUUGUGUAUAUAAGAGGGCAGACUUGACCUCAUUAGGCCACCGUAUAUGGAUUCUUUAACACAUUUUAUCUGUCCUAACUGACCUGCCAAGUUAAAUAAAGGUUCAACAAAA